UAGCCUUCUCAGCUAGCUUUUAGAUUUGUCUGCUAACAGUAAAAAUACUAUAAUAAAUCGGUAACAUAUGUUGCCAGGCAAGGAAAAGUGAUAUAAAUAAAGAGACUAGGAGACCCAAACCAAGUACAAUGUGAAAAGAAUUUAACUUUCAACCUAUUCGUUGGCUAAUUAACAUUUGAAAAGCAAUUUGAAAGUGUAACUGUUAUUUGCUUAUAUUCUUCCUCAUUUUUUUUUUUUUCUCUCUUCAGAUUGCAUUCUUACCCAAAUACUCCUUCGUGAUUGCCUGUUUUGCGGCUUUGGGAUUCUUCAGGGAGUAGAGAACAUUCACAUGGAUGACAUCCCAGUUUUCUCAUCAUGUUGAGUCCAGCUUUUCAUUCACUGACAACGAACUCAAAAAUCUAAAAUUUGAUAUUUUGAGGUUAUUCUUUUGGCAAAUAGAGAACUCAUGUUCCUCAAAAGGACCUUCUUUUCUUGGGUUGAGAUAUUCGUGACAAUUCCAUGUAGGAAAACGCAUUUACCACAUGAGGAAAUUAUUCUUGGUUUACUUUUAGCAUUACAAAGAAAUGAGGACCACAGACUUCUACCUUCAAAUUGGAAAUAGCAACCUUAUCAAACAGAUACCGACAGCAGAGCAUCUGUAAAGUUUCUGGAUGCUGCUUCACGUUGGCUGGCUUCCUUCUAAAUCAUCUUGGUCUUUGGACAUAAUCAAGAGCACAGGUGAUGGAGUGUCCCAUUUGGCUAUUAUUUUUCAAAAAGGGGAAUAAACGGAAAAUUCUCUGCGUGAGGAUCGUCACUGCCAUGACUGUGCAUCAAGAAACUGAAUACAGUUGUUCAUUCCAGGCAGAUCUGAAGGCAGAAGCCAGUUUCCCGUUCUGUGUCCUCUCCACUCACCAUAUCGUCAUGGCAAGGGCCUGCAGUGGAGAGAGGUCUCCAGGCAUAGCGGCAGCCGACAUCUCGGCCUUCCACCCGUGACUGCAGGUUCUAUCACGUGGACCAGUCACUUCGAUUCCCAAGCCUCAGCUGUCUUGGCACCAUUACGCCAGCUGAAACACCAUGGCUGCAUCAAAGCAGGGACGUGGUCCAGGUGGCCUUGUGAUGUCCUACCCAACUCAAUUCUAUGACUCCCUUUACUUGUUUUACUGUGAGAACAUUGUAACUUCUCCUCCCAAGCGUAAUGCCUUUAAAAUCUAGCCCUCAAAUAAAGAAACUUAGACUUUCUUCUGGAUUUCUUUGCCUUCAGCUGUGGCACUGAAAAGCUUCUUGAAAAAAUUUUCUCUCCUCCCAUACAAGGCUAUAGUAAUCUUCCUAAAUGCCAUUUGGAUCACGUUACUUCCCUGUGUAAAAUCCUUCAGUUGCUCUUCUUUGUGUGUGGGGUGAUAGAGCAGUAUGUGCAUGGCAUUCCUACCCUUCAUGUGGGCCCCUGGGGUCCACUGCCCCACGGGUACCCUGGGCUCUGGCCCAACAAGCUGGACAAUUCCCCUCCUUUGCCAUCUCCUCUCUCCUCCAUGCCCUGCUUUUGGAUGGAUUCUUUCCUCUGAAGUUUCCUCUGCUUGGCUAAAUCCUUCUCCUCCUGUACAUUAAACUCAGGCACCUUGUCCUCUGGGAAGUCUUCCUGAACCUCAGAGGGGGACAAGAUGGCCCUCGUCUGUGCCAUCUGACCCUCCUUGCUUCCCCUUGCAGGGAAGGCCAUUCUGCGUUGUACCUGCUUUUUGGUGUCCCUAGUGCCCACUGGUCUGGAAGCUUCUGAAGACAGGGACUGGAUCUUGUAUUUUGGCAACUCCUGCACCCAGCCCAGAGUCUGGUUACGGUAACAGGGUCAGUAAACGUUUGAAGCCUCAAUUUGACAAGAUCUUCCUCGUGAUAACUAGGGACACUAUAAACCUGGAGGAGAUUAUAUUUAGGUAUGUAUAGCUGGUGGAAAACUGUUCCCAAAGAAUUUAGAGACGACAGACCUAAAUCAGACAAUAAAUGUGUGAUGAUUUAUAAGAAUUAGAAAGGGUGGGAGGUAAGAUGCAGAGAUUACUGAAUGUGGGAAGGAUUCCUUCAACAGGUAACACACCCAAAUGAUUCAGCUUUGAAACUGAUGAGGUGUAAAAUUCUGCUUUUUGGUCUAACAGUUCAUUAAACUAAUACAAAUUGUGGGAGGAGAACUCGUCUGGAAGUGACCCCAAAUGAACCAAGACUGUGAUAGGAACUGCCCACAAUUUUAUUAUUAUUUUUUUAAUAAAUUUAUUUAUUUAAUUUAUUUUAUUUUUGGCUGCGUUCGGUCUUCGUUGCUGCGCGUGGGCUUUCUCUAGUUGCAGCGAGCGGGGGCUACUCUUUGUUGUGGUGCGCAGGCUUCUUAUCGCGGUGGCUUCUCUUGUUGUGGAGCACGGGCUCUAGGUGCGCGGGCUUCAGUAGUUGUGGCAUGCAGGCUCAGUAGUUGUGGCGCACGGGCUUAGUUGCUCUGUGGCAUGUGAGAUCUUCCCGGACCAGGGCUUGAACCCAUGGUCCCUGCAUUGGCAGGCUGAUUCUUAACCACUGCACCACCAGGGAAGCCCCUAUUAUUAUUAUUAUUAUUAUUGGCCACUGUGUAUUGAGCACCUACUAUCUAUGGGGCAUUUUCAUCAGAUGCUUUAAAUUCAUAACCUCAUUUAUUAAACCCCACAGCAUCUCUAUGAUAUAGGUAACAUUAGCCCAUUUUGUGAACAAGGAGACUGAGAUCAAAAGGGAGAUUGAGGUCACACAGCUUGGAAGAGACAGCACCGAUGGGGUGACCCCCAAAGGCCACGGAUUAAAGGAGGGGCAGCCUCACUUAAUCUGCACUAUCACAUGAAGGGGGAAAGGUUGGUUCCAUUCUGAGAGCCCAUUUGAAAAUGGUCAUAGACCAAGUAGAGCACAUUCCCAGUGGGGAGGCUGAUGAGGAUUUAGAGGUGACAAUCACACCCUUGUCUUCUCAGAUUUCAGAUUCACCUGAGAAACACACAGAGAAGUCAGGUAGAUAGAAAUCCAAAUGUCAGCUUUUUCAGAAAGAACUUGAACUGUGGUUAAACAGACAUGUGAAUCCGGUCCCCCAACCCAAACACUAAGUGUAGCUGCCAGAACCACAGGCCUCUGCCUAGAAGGGGUUAAGCCUGCCGGGUAAGCUCAGCACAGGCAGGGAGAAGGUCAUACUCUGCAGGCAGGUGGGUCUGCUACCAACCCUGUGCGUACUCAGCCAGGAACGCUCAGCGACGUUUCCUAGAUUAAACAAUCAGGCUGCCAGCCAAUGUGACUCUAAUUCUUCUCAGAGAAACAUAAAACCAGGGAAUGAAGUCCUUGUCCCUAGCAGUGGCUCGAAUUCUAACUGACGUAUCAAUGAAACCAAAGGGUGAAAUGAUGUGAUGGUUAAUUUUAUGCAUCACCUUGGCUGGACAGUGGUGCCCAGUCAUUUGGUCAAAUACCAGUCUAGAUGUUCCUGUGAAGGUAUUUUUUAUAUGUGAUUAAAAUUUAAAUCAGCAGACUCUGAGUAAAGUCAAUUACCUCCAGAAUAUGGGUGGGCCUCAUCCAAUCAGUUGAAGGCCUUAAGAGCAAAGACUGAGGUCUCCUGAAGAAGAAAUUCACCUCAAAGCUGCAACACCAACUCUUACCUGAAUU